rnacentral:rRNA from 1 species
CCUACGGGUGGCAGCAGUGAGGAAUAUUGGUCAAUGGACGAGAGUCUGAACCAGCCAAGCCGCGUGAAGGACGAAGGUGCCAAGCAUUGUAAACUUCUUUUGUCAAGGGACAAAAUCAGGCUCGAGAGCCUGACCGAGGGUACUUGAAGAAAAAGCAUCGGCUAACUCCGGGCCAGCAGCCGCGGUAAUACGGAGGAUGCGAGCGUUAUCCGGAUUUAUUGGGUUUAAGGGGUGCGUAGGCGGGCUGUUAAGUCAGCGGUAAAAGCCCGGGGCUCAACCCCGGCGAGCCGUUGAAACUGGCUGUCUUGAGAUGUCGAGAGGUAUGCGGAAUGCGCAGUGUAGCGGUGAAAUGCUUAGAUAUUGCGCAGAACUCCGAUUGCGAAGGCAGCAUACCGGCGGCGAUCUGACGCUGAGGCACGAAAGCGUGGGUAUCGAACAGGAUUAGAUACCCGUGUAGUC